CAGUAGCCGCGGUAAUACGAAGGGGGCUAGCGUUGUUCGGAUUUACUGGGCGUAAAGCGCACGUAGGCGGACUUUUAAGUCAGGGGUGAAAUCCCGGGGCUCAACCCCGGAACUGCCUUUGAUACUGGGAGUCUUGAGUUCGAGAGAGGUGAGUGGAAUUGCGAGUGUAGAGGUGAAAUUCGUAGAUAUUCGCAGGAACGCCAGUGGCGAAGGCGGCUCACUGGCUCGAUACUGACGCUGAGGUGCGAAAGCGUGGGGAGCAAACAGGAUUAGAGACCCGCGUAGUCCCUGUCUCUUAUAC
rnacentral:rRNA from 1 species